GAUGAACGCUGGCGGCGUGCCUAACACAUGCAAGUCGAGCGGACAGACGAGGAUCUUGCUCGUCUGACGUUAGGGGCGGGCGUGUGAGAAACACGUGUAUAACCUACCUAGAAGACUGGGAUCACUAGGGGAAACCGGAUCUCAUACCGUAUAAGAUAUUGAACCGCGGGGUUCGAUGGUGAAAUACGGCUUUGCUGUCACUAAUAGAUGGUGCCGCGCUGGUUUGGCUAGUUGGUAAGGUAACGGCUUACCAAGGCGACGAUGCGUAGCCGAACUGAGAGGGUGAUAGGCCACACUGGAACUGAGACACGGUCCAGACUCCUACGGGAGGCAGCAGUAGGGAAUGUUAGGCAAUGGGCGAAAGCCUGACGCAGCAACGCCGCGUGUGUGAUGAAGGUCUUCGGAUCGUAAAGCUCUGUUAUUUGGGAAGAACAGAUGUGGACUAAUACCUGGCCGUAUUGACGGUACCUAAUGAAAAAGCACCGGCUAACUACGUG
rnacentral:rRNA from 1 species